rnacentral:rRNA from 1 species
GACGAACGCUGGCGGCGUGCUUAACACAUGCAAGUCGAACGGAAAGGCCCUGCUUUUGUGGGGUGCUCGAGUGGCGAACGGGUGAGUAACACGUGAGUAACCUGCCCUUGACUUUGGGAUAACUUCAGGAAACUGGGGCUAAUACCGGAUAGGAGCUCCUGCUGCAUGGUGGGGGUUGGAAAGUUUCGGCGGUUGGGGAUGGACUCGCGGCUUAUCAGCUUGUUGGUGGGGUAGUGGCUUACCAAGGCUUUGACGGGUAGCCGGCCUGAGAGGGUGACCGGCCACAUUGGGACUGCGAUACGGCGCAGACUCCUACGGGAGGCAGCAGUGGGGAAUAUUGCACAAUGGGCGGAAGCCUGAUGCAGAAACGCCGCGUGCGGGAUGACGGCCUUCGGGUUGUAAACCGCUUUCGCCUGUGCCGAAGCGUGAGUGACGGUAAUGGGUAAAGAAGCACCGGCUAACUACGUG